rnacentral:lncRNA from 1 species
CUGAAUUCUGUUUUUAUUAUAAUUGUUUCUUCUUUACUCUUCUAUGCUUAAGGGAUCUGCUCAUAUAAAUGACUACAGGAUAAAUAAAGCUGACAAACACAAGUGACUGUAUCUUUUGGCAUUAAGAUAAUUAUAGAUCAUUACACGGUAGGAAUAGUCAAUAGCCCUAAAGUAAUAUGAUUAAAUAAAGCACUUUAAAACUGUAAUUCACCUAGCCUUUUUAAUAUUUUACUAUUUCUUCUUUGUUGCUCUAAAGCUAUGAAUUUUAAGAUUUAUUUGUCACUACUCUCUAUAUUUUCUGCUGUACACAGUAUUUGUGGGCUAUGGCAACCAAUCCCCUUGGGCUUUCUUUUGCUUUAAUUUGCAUAAACACAGGCAUCAUAUGAAUAUUCAGUGAGUGGCUUUGCAUUAAGUAAGUGCCCUUAAUCAGCUUUUCAGUUCAGUUUUAUUGGUUGCACGCACAGUCAGUUAUUUCAUCCAGAAAAUCUGAAGGCCCUACAAACUAACCAGUGUCUUCCCACAAUGCACUAUCUACGCACUUAAUCCGCGACUGAAAUCCAGUACUCCAAGCCCAAAGUAGAGCACAGCCUCCAUCAGCGUGAGAACUUUGUCUUUCAUCAGUGUUCAACUACAUUUCUACUUCUACUGAGUACAGUACUCAACAAAUAAAAUACAGUGAAACAACAUAAAAUGAAACCACAGACAUUUGAAUGAAAUUAAUGUUGGACUCCUAUUAUUUGAUGACACCAAGACUAGUAUGUCACUUUGCUCCUUCUCUGAUUUGCUGCUUGAAUGAAUUGUUUACAAAACACGUAACAUUCUUCUGAAAUGAACUGGGGAGGGAACAGAAUGAGAAAGAGAAAGGAGGGGUGUGGUGAAGGGGAGAAGGAGGAAGGAAGAAAGUGUUCAGUUCAACAGGAAUGGAGAAAUCUGAGCUGGAAAUACAAUAUGAAGGCCUAUCGUUCUUUCAAAGCACAGUGCAUUUCAGAAAGUAAAGGAAAGACAUUUCACCAAAAACUCCUAAACAAGAAUUCAGUUUAUGGGCUAGACUACGACUUCUCCUUGUUCUCGGGCCUUCCUCUAAGUAAAUCUGUUUGCUUUAAUUACUUCUCAUGUGAUAAAGAUUUUCAUUUUUCUUGCCAGUUGACUAUGGGUAAUAACAUUUGCUCCUCCCUCUAGACAUCUACUUGAUUCAAUAACUUCACCAAAAGGAAAAAAGAAAAGGAAGAAGAAAAGAAGAAGAGAGGAGAAGGGUGAGGGGAAGGAAAGAAGACGAAAAAGAAAAUAUGUAGGUGUAAAGGCAACUUUUUUGUGCUAGAAAUAGUAGUUACAUGGUUAAAAAAAAAGGCAGCUAGUAUUGCUCUUGAAAAUCAUAGUUAAAAGGGCUAGAUACUGAAAUUAGUAGUUGGCUAUCAAAGAUGAAUAAUUUCCUAUUCAAGAGAAAUAAUUAUUUGUAGAAACAGCAUUAUAUGCCAUGAAAAUGACAUUUAAAAAAAAUUUUCUAGCAACUAUCAUUGUCUUAGAAGACUAAAGAAACCAAGGCUUGUGCAAAAUAUAAACAAAUUUAUUUUGGUGAAUUCUUUUCUAGUUGGUAGGUAAACACAAUAGUGACUAUUUGAAUUAAAGCAUUAAUAAUAUUUCCUUAAAAAAUAAAACUUGGGAAUUAAUGUAAACGUUUUUAUUUUGUUAGAAUCACCUCUGAAUUAUGGAUCACCAAAGUAAAUAUAGGAAACACAAAUUUUAAGUUGGAUACAAUAAACAUAAAAAAUGAGAACAGCAUGAAAUUACUUUGUGUUGGGGAAAAUUUUUAUUUCUUGUCUCACAAUUUUCAUUCAAUUUUCCAAGUUUUAAAUUGCAUUUAUAAAUUAAAAGUUAUUAUUGGGUGAUAUAAAAUUUCCUCAAAACCUUAUCAUAUUGCUAAUCAAUAUUUUCCAUUUCUGGAGUCUCCUAGAUUAAUUAGCUUCAACUUUAAAAUUAGGCAUUAUAUUCUUUUAACACUCUUCAACACUUGGCAUCAAAUACUAUAAUUCAUAAAUUUUAUUUCUCUAUUUUUAUUUCUACACCUUCCUAAUACUAUACUUCAAAUAAAACAUUUUAAAGGAUUAAGUAUGCAUAACACCUUGAAAUCAAUAUAUCUAAUUAGUAUUUAAAAGUAUUUUUUUAAAAGGACAGUUAACAAACAAAAAAGUUGCCAAACUAUGUAUUGGAUGACAGUAUCUUUUUAAGGAUAAUGGUGUUUUAAGUUUUCAUACAGUACCUGGUAUAGAUAACUAAAUGACAAAAUCUGUUGCUAAUAUUGUUUUCCUUAGAUUUGAUUUUUUUCGAAUUUUAUCUGUUAGUUUCAUACUGAUUAGUUCAGUUCCUUUGCUGAUCUGUAUUUCCUAAAAGGAACCUGAGAAUUAUUCUCUUAAUGUAUAAUACAUUUUUAACUCAGUCAUCAACUGGCAAUUUUAGAUUGCCCUCUAAGGAAAGUCGCCAGAAUGUAAAAUAACUGGCCACCUAGGUUUCAAUAAUAGUAUUUUUUAAAUGUCCUUAAAGUACCUUUUUCUGUUUCCCGUUUUUUUUACAUGCUAUAGUUUUAACUCUUCUUUAAUCUAUCUGGGAAAAUUAUACAGAAAUAAUUCUACUUAAUAGUUAAUCAUUACAGUGAGAAAAUUAUCAAAAUUGUGUUCAGUACUCUCCAUAUGUGAUGAUAAUCAGUAAUAGUUAGAGUGCAAAAAAUUCAUAUUGUAACAUAUUUAGAGGUGCCUUUCUUGAGUUUUUUUCUAUUCCAUCACAUUUAAAGAUUGCAAGCAAGUGAGAAUUUACUUUGGUUUCAAUAUUAAAACAUAAUAAUCCCAAUGCUUAUAAUUUUCCUUGAAAUUUAAUUCUGUUUUGUUAGUUUAUUAUGUGGCUUUUUGUGGCCAAACAACAUAGAUGAUCUAUUAGUAAGUUCUGUGAUCCCUGUUUAGAAUUUUGUAUGUUUAGCAUAUUCAUAAAUACUGUGCCCAAAUUAUUACUUAUUUCAGUUUUAAUAAUACUAUAAAGUGAGUUCAAUCUGUCUUAGAACAGUAGUGAAAAAGAAAAGUGCUACAUAUUUUGCUUAAUUUUUUUUAACUACCGAGAACACAGAAAGAAGCCUAUCUCUAGAAUUUUACUCUUUAUGCAUGAUCACAUAUACUUUAUUUCUUCAAUGAUUCAUUGAUUCAUUUAUCAAAGUGUUAAAGAAAAAUAAAGAUAUUUUUAUUCUACUAAAGCCAAUCUGCAGGAUUAUAUUGAAGUAUACAUAAAGUAUUACCCGCUUCUACCUUAGAAAAACAUUCCCUCAAACAGUCCCAAGUAUGUGACAUAAAGUAAAAAUUGAGUAAAGUGUUUAAAUCAAUAACCAUGCUGAAAAAUAUGCUAAAUGCUGUUAGCAUCUACUCCACAAAAUGGUUCUGUUGGAUUAAAUUUUAUUUAUUUUUCCUAGUGAUACCUGUCAUAUUCACUUUGUUACUGGGGGGAGGGGAGCCGAGCUAAUUUUCCCUAAGUUGAAAUAUAUUAUUAUGAGAAAUAAUAAUUCAAUGAAAUAGGAAUUGGAUUUUUAAAAUUGAGUUGAUAGGAACAUCUUAAUUAUUUCUUUUCAGACACAUCUAACUCAUGGUAAUGUUUAUUUGUGAAAUGCAUUUUGACAAAAUGUUUCAGCUGUCAUUUCUGAAGUUGGUAAGUACCCAGUACAGAGCUUUCUACACAUGAAGAGUCUUCUCUCUCAGAAUUUUACAGUUUCUCUAUACUUAAUUAUUGAAAAUUUUAAGAAUAUUUAAUUUCCCAGAACAGGAGAUAGUUAUAGUAUUUUUCACAUAGAACUUUGUAAGACUGUAAGACUGCUUGACUUUUUUCCUAGAUAUUUCACAUACAGAUAUUUGAAUGGACUCUGCUACAGUUUCCUGAUGAUUUAUUAGGGUAAAAUACUAACAGUAGCACUCUCUUCAGUUUCCAAGAGAUGUUUCCAUAUUGAAGUUAUAGGCUUUCUUUUGACCUGACGGAGGCCUUCCAGUCCAAGCUCAGUGCAUAUUCACAAAGUAACAUGCGUUAAUUCUCUCAUUCAGCAUAGGGAAAUUGGAAACAUCUAUUAAGAUAAUUCUUAGAAGCCACACUCCUUCUUAGAGGGAAAAUCUGAGAAGAAAAGUCAAAUCUCCUUACUUUCAGGCUAAAUGGCAAAGUCCCAGGUCACAUUGGGAGGUUUCAUUGGAAAGUCAGUCAGCAACACUCCUCUUUUGUCUCUUCUUACAAAGUAUGACCGCUAUGAUGCCAUGAGACAUUUGGAUGGCCUUCUUUACAGCCGCGACCCUGAGAGUCUAUACACAAGUCUCCCUGAAGCCAAUAGCCUCUCCACUCCCCAUUGCUCAAACCAUUUAACAAGCUCUUCUUUUGGAAUUACCUUAAAAAUGCGAAAAUGAGCUACUAGAAAAAUGUUUUGACUUUACAGUCAGACUUCAUGUUGAAACCCAAAGCACAAAUAUCCACGUUCACCACCACACUUAACUCAACAUAAGCUUCCCCAAGUCAGUCUUCUUUUAUUGGACAAAGAUUUUCCAUUAUAAAAAAUGUUCAAAACAGUGGGCAGUAGCAUAUGAAGGCAAUUACCAAGAGGACAUCCAAUACUGGCUUGAACAACGGUAGCAUCAUUGAAAUGAGUAUUUAAUACCUACAAGAUGACCACUUUGAAGAAUUUGUUGAUGAACGUUUGAUUAUAUUAAUUAAAAUCAUCAGUCACUCUGCCCUUGAAUAUCUGCCUGUCAGUCCUUUACGGGAUCACAGUCUCUUACAGCUCUGCAUGAAGCAUGACUUGAAAACAUACACUUCAUAGUCACAGUCCCUUUGGAUGUAGGCCUUGUGAGUGACAAGGCUUCUUUGUUUAUUUGCACAGUGGGUAAAAAUUGAAGACAGAUUUUAGCAUAGAGACUAAUAUUUAAUAUAUUUUCAGGAAACAUUGAAUCACCACACAUGUAAAUUUGUUAAGUUAGGUAAAUUGAAAUUAAAGAAAAAUAUUGGGUCCAAAAAGAUAGAAAUUUUAGAAUGUGGUCAUAUGAACAUUUAGUUAAUACAUCAAAUGUAUGCACCCAAAUCUAAAAUAUUGUUUUUAAAAUAAAGCAUAUAUACCAGUGUUUAAAUGUUUUCAAAGGGUUUAAUAAAAACAACCCAAUACUUUUAAUAACAGUUGUUUUACAUAUGUAUUUUUUAAAUUUAAGAACAUGUCCGAUGAUAUAGAAUUGUAUAUACACCAAAUUUUGAAUCUCUAAUUUUCUUUUAUAGUUAAUUUCUCUAUUUUCAACAAAGACCAUAUAUGUUUGAUAUACAUUUUUCCCUUCUGAAAGGGAAAUUAACAGAUUGCUUUGUGAAUGCGAUUUACCAUAAAGAAGUAACUACGUGUUACACUUGGUACGUGAGAUUUCCUAGUCAUGCCUAGCAGUGUAGGUGGCCUCUACUGUCUUUGCAUAACUUGGUGAGUCUUGCCAUUAUGAAGUAAUUAUUCCAGUUAAAAAGAGGAAAGUCAAUUCAGGUUUCUCUGCCUUAACUCAGCAAUAGAGUCUUCUCAGAGACUUCACUUGGAUGCAACUUCUUAAAUUUCAGAAACAUUUGCCACCUCCACCUCUAGAAGAUGCCAAAAGGGAAAUCAUAAACAUCGCAACCAAAAGAUCCUGUAUUGAACACCUGGUGGGAACAUCACUGCUCUCUGACUAAUGAAUGAGUUGUCUUUUUUGUGGCCAAUGCAUUUUUUUCUUGUAUGACAUGUUAUGUUAUUACGGAUUUUUAAGAUUGGCUACAGGUUUUCAUUCACUCACUGAUUUUCUCU